CUGGCUCAGAUUGAACGCUGGCGGCGUGCUUAACACAUGCAAGUCGCGCGUGAAAGGACUUCGGUCCGAGUAAAGCGGCGCACGGGUGAGUAACGCGUGGAUGAUCUACCCAUGAGUUGGGAAUAACGGCUGGAAACGGUCGCUAAUACCGAAUACGCUCCGAUUUCAUCUUCGGGGGAAAGGUGGCCUCUGCUUGCAAGCUACUGCUCAUGGAUGAGUCCGCGUCCCAUUAGCUAGUUGGUGGGGUAACGGCCCACCAAGGCGACGAUGGGUAGCCGGUCUGAGAGGAUGACCGGCCACACUGGGACUGGAACACGGCCCAGACUCCUACGGGAGGCAGCAGUGGGGAAUAUUGCGCAAUGGGCGAAAGCCUGACGCAGCGACGCCGCGUGAGGGGAAUGAAGGUCCUCGGAUCGUAAACCUCUGUCAGGAGGGAAGAACCGCCACGGUGCUAAUCAGCCGUGGUCUGACGGUACCUCCAAAGGAAGCACCGGCUAACUCCGUGCCAGCCGCCGC
rnacentral:rRNA from 1 species